rnacentral:rRNA from 16 species
GGAUGCGAUCAUACCAGCACUAAAGCACUGGAUCCCAUCAAGUUAAGCGUGCUUGGGCGAGAGUAGUACUAGGAUGGGUGACCUCCUCGGAAGUCCUCGUGUUGCANNNN